AGCGAACGCUGGCGGCAGGCUUAACACAUGCAAGUCGAGCGGGCACUUCGGUGUCAGCGGCAGACGGGUGAGUAACACGUGGGAACGUACCCUUUGGUUCGGAAUAACGCUGGGAAACUAGCGCUAAUACCGGAUACGCCCUUUUGGGGAAUGGCUUGCUGCCGAAGGAUCGGCCCGCGUCUGAUUAGCUAGUUGGUGGGGUAAUGGCCUACCAAGGCGACGAUCAGUAGCUGGUCUGAGAGGAUGAUCAGCCACACUGGGACUGAGACACGGCCCAGACUCCUACGGGAGGCAGCAGUGGGGAAUAUUGGACAAUGGGCGCAAGCCUGAUCCAGCCAUGCCGCGUGAGUGAUGAAGGCCUUAGGGUUGUAAAGCUCUUUUGUCCGGGACGAUAAUGACGGUACCGGAAGAAUAAGCCCCGGCUAACUUCGUG
rnacentral:rRNA from 1 species